rnacentral:rRNA from 1 species
UCAAGUCUUUAAGAGCAAACGGUGGAUGCCUUGGCAUCUGGAGCCGAAGAAGGACGUAGCAAUCUGCGAUAAGCCUCGGGGAGUGGAUAAGCACACUUUGAUCCGAGGGUCUCCGAAUGGGGAAACCCCGCCGGGCGGCGUGCCGACCCGGUGACUCCCGCCUGAAUAUAUAGGGCGGGUAGAGGGAACGUGGGGAAGUGAAACAUCUCAGUACCCACAGGAAGAGAAAGCAACCGCGAUUCCGUUAGUAGUGGCGAGCGAAACCGGAACAGGCUAAACCGAGUACGUGUGAUAUCCGGCAGGAGUUGCGUAUUCGGGGUUGUGGGACUUUUCAGGCUGCUCUGCCGAGCAGCCGGCGUUACAAGAAGGUAUAGACGAACUGGAUUGAAAGCCAGGUCAUAGAGGGUGCAAACCCCGUAGUCGAAAUGCCUCCCUUGGCGCGAAGAGUAUCCCAAGUAGCACGGGGCCCGAGAAAUCCCGUGUGAAUCUGUCAGGACCACCUGAUAAGCCUAAAUACUCCCAGAUGACCGAUAGCGGACAAGUACCGUGAGGGAAAGGUGAAAAGUACCCCGGGAGGGGAGUGAAAUAGUACCUGAAACCGUUUGCUUACAAACCGUUGGAGCAGCCCUAGCAGCUGUGACAGCGUGCCUUUUGAAGAAUGAGCCUGCGAGUUAGCGAUACGUGGCGAGGUUAACCCGUGAGGGGUAGCCGUAGCGAAAGCGAGUCUGAAUAGGGCGAUUCAGUCGCGUGUCCUAGACCCGAAGCGAAGUGAUCUAUCCAUGGCCAGGUUGAAGCGACGGUAAGACGUCGUGGAGGACCGAACCCACUUAGGUUGAAAACUGAGGGGAUGAGCUGUGGAUAGGGGUGAAAGGCCAAUCAAACUUCGUGAUAGCUGGUUCUCUCCGAAAUGCAUUUAGGUGCAGCGUUGCGUGUUUCUUGCCGGAGGUAGAGCUACUGGAUGGCCGAUGGGCCCUACAAGGUUACUGACGUCAGCCAAACUCCGAAUGCCGGUAAGUGAGAGCGCAGCAGUGAGACUGUGGGGGAUAAGCUUCAUAGUCGAGAGGGAAACAACCCAGACCACCAACUAAGGUCCCAAAGCGCGUGCUAAGUGGGAAAGGAUGUGGAGUUGCCUUGACAACCAGGAGGUUGGCUUAGAAGCAGCCACCCUUGAAAGAGUGCGUAAUAGCUCACUGGUCAAGUGAUUCCGCGCCGACAAUGUAACGGGGCUCAAGCACGCCACCGAAGUUGUGGCAUUGACAUUAUUGGUAGGCCUUCGUGGUCCAGCCGUGUUGAUGGGUAGGAGAGCGUCGUGUGGCCAGCGAAGCGGCGGUGUGAACCAGCCGUGGAGGCUACACGAGUGAGAAUGCAGGCAUGAGUAGCGAAAGACAUGUGAGAAACAUGUCCUCCGAAAGACCAAGGGUUCCAGGGUCAAGCUAAUCUUCCCUGGGUAAGUCGGGACCUAAGGCGAGGCCGACAGGCGUAGUCGAUGGACAACGGGUUGAUAUUCCCGUACCGGCGAAGAACCGCCCAAGCUAAUCCAGUAGUGCUAAGUGUCUGAAUCCCACUGACGGAUCCCUUCGGGGUGAAGCGUUGGGCCUAGCGCACGAACCCAUUCUGGUGCGGUUAGCGUAUUAACAGGUGUGACGCAGGAAGGUAGCCCAACCCGGGCGAUGGUUGUCCCGGGGCAAGUGCGUAGGCCGAGAGAUAGGCAAAUCCGUCUCUCACAUAGGCUGAGACACGAUGCGGAUAAAAAGUGGGUGAUCCUAUGCUGCCAAGAAAAGCAUCGACGCGAGGUUCUAGCCGCCCGUACCCCAAACCGACUCAGGUGGUCAGGUAGAGAAUACCAAGGAGAUCGAGAGAAUCGUGGUUAAGGAACUCGGCAAAAUGCCCCCGUAACUUCGGGAGAAGGGGGGCCUUCGGCGUAUUAGGACUUGCUCCGAAAGCGUUUGGAGGCCGCAGAGACUAGUGGGUAGCGACUGUUUAUUAAAAACACAGGUCCGUGCCAAGUCGCAAGACGAUGUAUACGGACUGACGCCUGCCCGGUGCUGGAAGGUUAAGAGGACCGGUUAGCCGCAAGGCGAAGCUGAGAAUUUAAGCCCCAGUAAACGGCGGUGGUAACUAUAACCAUCCUAAGGUAGCGAAAUUCCUUGUCGGGUAAGUUCCGACCUGCACGAAUGGCGUAACGACUUCCCAACUGUCUCAACCACGAACUCGGCGAAAUUGCACUACGAGUAAAGAUGCUCGUUACGCGCAGCAGGACGGAAAGACCCCGUGACCUUUACUACAGCUUGGUAUUGGUGUUCGGUGUGGCUUGUGUAGGAUAGGUGGGAGACUUUGAAGCGGUGACGCCAGUUACCGUGGAGUCAUUGUUGAAAUACCACUCUGGUCACUCUGGAUAUCUAACUUCGAACCGUAAUCCGGUUCAGGGACAGUGCCUGGUGGGUAGUUUAACUGGGGCGGUUGCCUCCCAAAAAGUAACGGAGGCGCCCAAAGGUUCCCUCAACCUGGUUGGCAAUCAGGUGUCGAGUGUAAGUGCACAAGGGAGCUUGACUGUGAGACUGACAGGUCGAACAGGGACGAAAGUCGGGACUAGUGAUCCGGCAGUGGCUUGUGGAAGCGCUGUCGCUCAACGGAUAAAAGGUACCUCGGGGAUAACAGGCUGAUCUUGCCCAAGAGUCCAUAUCGACGGCAUGGUUUGGCACCUCGAUGUCGGCUCGUCGCAUCCUGGGGCUGGAGUAGGUCCCAAGGGUUGGGCUGUUCGCCCAUUAAAGCGGUACGCGAGCUGGGUUUAGAACGUCGUGAGACAGUUCGGUCCCUAUCCGCUGCGCGCGUAGGAAAUUUGAGAGGAUCUGACCCUAGUACGAGAGGACCGGGUUGGACGAACCUCUGGUGUGCCAGUUGUUCUGCCAAGAGCACCGCUGGUUAGCUACGUUCGGGAUGGAUAACCGCUGAAAGCAUCUAAGCGGGAAGCCGGCCUCAAGAUGAGAUUUCCAUGCCUUCGGGCGAGAGGCUCCCAGCCAGACUACUGGGUUGAUAGGCCGGAUGUGGAAGCGCGGUAACGCGUGAAGCUGACCGGUACUAAUAAGCCGAUGACUUGAU